UGGGCAACCUGCCCUCAGCUCUGGGAUAAACUCCAAGAAAUUGGGGCUAAUACCGGAUAUGACUGCUGACCGCAUGGUCUGGUGGUGGAAAGAUUUAUCGGCUGGGGAUGGGCCCGCGGCCUAUCAGCUUGUUGGUGGGGUAGUGGCCUACCAAGGCGACGACGGGUAGCCGGCCUGAGAGGGUGACCGGCCACACUGGGACUGAGACACGGCCCAGACUCCUACGGGA
rnacentral:rRNA from 1 species